rnacentral:lncRNA from 1 species
AUAUAACAUUUAGCUGAUAUUAACAGGGGUCUUACUCAAUGGAGUAAUAUUACCUUUUCCUCACCCUUUUAGUAAAUUCAUUUCAUCGAUAACUAUAGAUUGCUUAAAGGCGUUGUCGUCGCAGUAUUUCAUGUCAGCUAUUAUCGGAGGUAGUAAAUCAAUCAAAUUUAUUAUUAUAAGAUGCAAUGAGUGCUUCCAUGUAGCGGUGAAAGGCCUAGGACUCGCUGUGGAUGUAGUCCUCUGUCAUGGCGUCCCAGUACUGGCUGACAGUGGCUUUGAAGAUCGCAUUGUUUGGAAGACUGCCAUUAAGGGAUUGACAUCAAGGCUGUAGGCGACCAAAAGUGCAAGAAAAAAAGUCUAGUUUGGCUCUUGUGACAGAGCCCUUCUUCCUUUCCGGCAUUUCGGAUUUGCUGACGGCGUAGACACCCAACUUCUUAAAGUACGCUAAUACAAAUUCGUCGAUGAAGUUCAAGUGUCAUUUUCUUGACUUGUACGUAAGCUAGAAAGCCCAUGUUUGUUUAGUUUUGUGACUGAUUGUUUAUGUUUUAAUAUAUCGAAAUAUGAAUUAA